UGGAGGAUAGCAUGAAUCUCUGACAUCCAUCGAUCAUCCCCAGGCUCCAUUAAAGCACCUAAGGUCUUGCUCUGUCGCCCAGGCUGGAAUGCAGUGGCACGAUCUCGGCUCACUGUAAGCUCCGCCUCCCUGGUUCAUGCCAUUCUCCUGCCUCAGCCUCCCAAGUAGCUGGGACUACAGGUGGCCACCACCAUGCCUGGAGGUGGAAUCCUGCCAUUUUGCCCAGGGUGGAUUUGAACACAUGACCCUCCUGCCUCAGUUUUCCGAGUAGCUGGGACUGAAAAAGCAGCGUCUCUGUUUUUGUGUUCAGAGUGACAUUAACCUACUUCUGUUUAAAUGAAUAAAAUUGU